ACUGGAUGAAUAAUAAGACUCCCACACGCCGCCUCUCUCUCUAUUUACUCUCUCUCACACAACUGAUUGCUGAGGACUGCUGUGUGUGAGGCUCGAGAGAUGGGAUUGGCUGUUUGCCCCUCUCUGCACCAUCAACUUGUCUCUCUAUAUCACGCAACACCUCUCUCUCUGUUUUGGUCUCACGCUACCUAUCUCUAUAUAUCUCACUCAACCUCUCUCAAUCUCUCACGCAACAAAAUUCUGGGUUUGUGAGGCUCAAAACGCUGGUUCGAGGAUCAAACACAGAGGCUCAAAACGCAACCCAAAUUGUAGUUUUUUUGUUGUCUACUUGGUUUUGAAUAUUCUAUGUGUUUGAUUUUAUAUGGGUUGUGUGUAUGAUUUUAUAUGGGGCAAAGAGGUUAUGUAUAUGCGAUUUGUCUAUCACUGUUUGGGGUGCCCAGAGUAUAUGCAUUCCUAUGUUUAUGUUUCCUGUGCCCAGAGUUUAUCUUUCUUGUGUUUAUGCUUUUGAUUUUUAUUUUCUUACUGUUUCUGAGCAUCUCUUAGUGAAUUUGUUUAUCUGUGUUUGAUAAAAAUCUAUGGCUAAGUUAACAGGAGGAAGGGAUGAGAAUACAGAUAAUUUUAGACUUUCCUAAACAAAGUUUUAGCUUUCUGAAUUUGAAAAUUAGAAUAUGGGCAAUAAUAAUAUGCUACUUUAUGGUUUUGGGAAAUUCUAUGGGCAUUAAAAUUAGAAUAUCUGCAGCACCAACAAGUGUGUUGAGAGAAGUUCAUCAGAGAAGAAGUGAAUGAGUGUUUUGAAUUUGU
rnacentral:lncRNA from 1 species